rnacentral:tRNA from 1 species
GCCUGGAUGGCUCAGUCGGUUAAGCGUCCGACUUCAGCUCAGGUCAUGAUCGCGGUCUGUGGGUUCAAGCCCCGCGUCGGGCU